CAGAGUGAUGAAAACCUUGAAAUAAUCCAGAUUGACCGGAAAAGGAUGUUGCAAAUGGUCACUUGGACGAGUCUGGAA
rfam:Triticum aestivum genome assembly, contig: Triticum_aestivum_CS42_TGACv1_scaffold_033032_1BL